AAAAUCCUACGGGGGGCAGCAGUGGGGUAUAUUGCACAAUGGGGGAAACCCUGAUGCAGCGACGCCGCGUGGGUGAAGAAGCGCCUCGGCGCGUAAAGCCCUGUCAGCAGGGAAGAAAAUGACGGUACUUGAAGAAGAAGCCCCGGCUAACUACGUGCCAGCAGCCGCGGUAAUACGUAGGGGGCAAGCGUUAUCCGGAUUUACUGGGUGUAAAGGGGGCGCAGACGGCGAUGCAAGCCAGGAGUGAAAGCCCGGUGCCCAACCCCGGGACUGCUCUUGGAACUGCGUGGCUAGAUUGCAGGUGG
rnacentral:rRNA from 1 species